GGAAGGGGGAGCAGGACGGGGGCAGCGGAGCCCAGCUGUGGGGCUGAGCCCCAGCGGCGGGGUGCUAAUUGGCCGGGCCUCGCAAUUAAUUAAAGGCGGUGAUUAAUGCAAGGCUGCUGAAGGGAGAUCCUGCAGCGGGUGCAGGGCACGGUCGGUGCCUCUCGUCUCGUCGGGGACCGGGCUGAGCCCUUCCCUGGCUGUGCCCCGGGGGCGCGGGGAGGGCCGCUUGCCACGGCGGUGCCCGGGUCCCCGGUGCCGUGCCGGUCCCAGCGGGUCUGUGCCGGGUAAACGAGCCCGCACCGAGCUCUGAUUUUCGGUAACGCCGCCGUUUCUCGUUAAACGGCACGGCGGCUGGGCAGGAGCGGUGCUGAGGGCAUAGACGGGCCCUAAACGGCCCUAAAAAAAGCUAAAGACCUGGGCCCCUCUCGGCCGGUUCUCCGCUGCGGCCCGGCCCGGUGCGAGCUGCGGGCGGCUCCUGCUCGCGGAGCCGUGCCCUGGGUUAAAUAAAUCCGGGAUGAGCGAUGGAGUGUUUGUAAGCACGGGACAUGGCCCGUGCUGAGCAAACAGGAAGCCAGCUCAUAUUCUUAUGCUAAAAUGACUUCUGGAUUUAAACAAACAAAUAGUUCGAGCUGUUUUAUUUAACCUGGGGAUGGGGAUUAGGGCUGGGCAGGGCGAGCACGGCGGUUUCGAGGAGGGCUGCCCGCCGAGGGGCCGGCCGGCGCGGAGCUUGGGCUUUGUCCCUCGCGGCUUUCGGCUCCCGGCGGUUGGCUCUGGCCGCCCCACAGCGCUUGGAGAGAGCAGCCGCUCUUAAUUAGGAGGUAGAUUCAUGGGUGCCUUUACCUAAAUUACCGGGAUGACGAGCGGAGUCCGUCAGCGGCGUUAAGCAGAGCUUUGGAAGCGGCUGGGGUCAGUUUAUUGCUGUUACAACCGCGAUGUAACCUCCGUACCAAUAACCUCCAUACCGUAGUCCCCAAGCAAACCCACGGACAGCGAGAUUUUCUUUCCCCAUCUGACACGGAUGCCGUGGCGGCUGGUACCCGCUUUCGCGGCGCUUCAGCAGCAGAGCCGUGUGUGCGGGGACCUGCAGCGCUGUCCGACGGCAGCCCUGGAGAAAUUGGGGACGAAUUUGUCCGGAGCUGGGGCCAGCUGGAGCCGGGGGGGGACGAUCUCCCCCCUCGAGGCACCUCGCAGCGC
rnacentral:lncRNA from 1 species